rnacentral:rRNA from 1 species
UACGGAGGGUGCAAGCGUUGCUCGGAAUUAUUGGGCGUAAAGGGUAGGUAGGUGGUCUCAUUUGUCUGGGGUGAAAGCCUUGAGCUUAACUCAAGAAGUGCCCCAGAAACGGUGAGACUGGAGUCCUGGAGAGGGUCGUGGAAUUCCCGGUGUAGCGGUGAAAUGCGUAGAGAUCGGGAGGAACACCAGAGGCGAAAGCGGCGACCUGGACAGGCACUGACACUCAACUACGAAAGCGUGGGGAGCAA